AGCAUAAGAUAGGGUAGAUAACUCCAGGAAAAAAAUGACUUUAAAAUUGCUUAGGUCAUCACUCUUAUUACGCACGGGAUGCACGACGGUUGGAUAUACCUAUAUCAUUUAUUGAACAACUUAUUUUGACUUGAAAGGAUAUUGCAUGCAGAUCAUAAUAUAAUACAAUUAAUAUAAAUACAGAUAAUCAAGUUUCAAAGACCAUAUAUAUACAUCAUGUAUAAUGUUUACAAGAAGUAAUAUUUGACAUCACCUUUAUGAGAAUCAAGUUUAGAAGACCACAUAUUAAGAUACAGGAAA